CUCCGGUUGAUCCUGCCGGACCCGACUGCUAUCGGAUUGAGAUUUAGCCAUGCGAGUCGAACGUUCCCCUGUUGCGGGGAGCGUGGCGUACGGCUCAGUAACACGUAGUCAACCUGCCCUGGAGACAAGGACAACCCCGGGAAACUGGGAUUAAUCCUUGAUAGGUCAUCUCAUCUGGAAGGAGAGAUGGCUUAAAGGGGUACGAGGGCUUCUUCCACGUAUUCGCUCCAGGAUGGGACUGCGACCGAUCAGGCUGUUGGCGGGGUAAUGGCCCACCAAACCUGUAACCGGUACGGGCCUUGAGAGAGGUGGCCCGGAGAUGGACACUGAGAGAAGGGUCCAGGUCCUACGGGGCGCAGCAGGCGCGAAACCUUCGCAAUGCGCGAAAGCGUGACGAGGUUAAUCCGAGUGACUCCCGCUGAGGGGGUCUUUUGUCAGCUGUAAAUAGGCAGGCGAAUAAGGGGAGGGCAAGCCUGGUGUCAGCCGCCGCGGUAAUACCAGCUCCUCGAGUGGUCGGGGCGAUUAUUGGGCCUAAAGCAUCCGUAGCCGGUUCCGUAGGUCCUCUGUUAAAUCCAACCGCUCAACGGUUGACCUGCAGAGGAUACCGCGGGACUAGGAGGCGGGAGAGGCGGACGGUACUCCGCGUGUAGGGGUAAAAUCCUUUGAUCCGCGGAAGACCACCAGUGGCGAAGGCGGUCCGCCAGAACGCGCUCGACGGUGAGGGAUGAAAGCUGGGGGAGCGAACCGGAUUAGAUACCCGGGUAGUCCCAGCCGUAAACGAUGCUAGCUAGAUGAUUCAUUCGCAAGUCGCGAAUGAAGUGUCGCAGGGAAGCCGUUAAGCUAGCCGCCUGGGGAGUACGGUCGCAAGACUGAACUUAAAGGAAUGGCGGGGGAGCA
rnacentral:rRNA from 1 species